rnacentral:rRNA from 1 species
GAUGAACGCAGGCGGCGUGCUUAACACAUGCAAGUCGAACGAGAAAUGAAGAUGGAAACCUUCGGGCGGAAGCCUUCAUUUCGAGUGGCGGACGGGUGAGUAACGCGUGGGUAACCUGCCUCAUACAGGGGGAUAACAGUUGGAAACGACUGUUAAUACCGCAUAAGACCACAGCACCGCAUGGUGCGGGGGUAAAAACUCCGGUGGUAUGAGAUGGACCCGCGUUCGAUUAGCCAGUUGGCGGGGUAACGGCCCACCAAAGCGACGAUCGAUAGCCGAUCUGAGAGGAUGACCGGCCACAUUGGGACUGAGACACGGCCCAAACUCCUACGGGAGGCAGCAGUGGGGAAUAUUGCACAAUGGGGGAAACCCUGAUGCAGCGACGCCGCGUGAGUGAAGAAGUACUUCGGUAUGUAAAGCUCUAUCAGCAGGGAAGAAAAUGACGGUACCUGAGUAAGAAGCCCCGGCUAACUACGUGCCAGCAGCCGCGGUAAUACGUAGGGGGCAAGCGUUAUCCGGAUUUACUGGGUGUAAAGGGAGCGCAGACGGUUGCGCAAGUCUGAAGUGAAAUCCCGAGGCUUAACCACGGGACUGCUUUGGAAACUGUGCGACUUGAGUAUCGGAGGGGCAGGCGGAAUUCCUAGUGUAGCGGUGAAAUGCGUAGAUAUUAGGAAGAACACCGGUGGCGAAGGCGGCCUGCUGGACGAAAACUGACGUUGAGGCUCGAAGGCGUGGGGAGCAAACAGG